UUUGUUUCGACCGUCUAAAACAAUUCUCGUGGAACGGAUAGUUUUGUGAAAACGGUUUCUGCAGCGCGAUAAUGAUACCCGCCAAAGCCAAAAUAUAUUAAUUUUGAUCGUAAGAAUCGUCCCAUUAAAUUUAAAGGCACAGAUAUCGAGAUUCAGAAGGAUACUGGAAUCUUUUUAGCCUCAAGAUUCGUUCGACGUGUACAUUCUCACUCUUAC